GAUGAACGCUGGCGGCGUGCCUAAUACAUGCAAGUCGAGCGAAGCGGGGACGGGUGAGUAACACGUGGAUAACCUCCUAUCCGACUCGGAUAACUUCGGGAAACAGGAGCUAAACCUGAUACUUAUAGAUGAAUCCGCGCUGCAUUAGCUAGUUGGUAAGGUAACGGCUUACCAAGGCAAGGAUGCAUAGCCGACCGGAGAGGGUGAUAGGGCCCACUGGAAUGGAACCACGGCCCAGACUCCUACGUGAGGCAGCAGUGGGGAAUCUACCGCAAUGGGCGAAGGCCUGGCGGAGACACGCCGAGUAAGUGGAGAAGGUAUGCGGAUCGUAAAACUCUGUUAUUAGGGAAGCGGUACCUAAUCAGAAAGCCACGGCUAACUACGUGCCAGCAGCCGCGGUAAUUC
rnacentral:rRNA from 1 species